rnacentral:rRNA from 1 species
UACGGAGGGUGCGAGCGUUGUCCGGAAUCAUUGGGCGUAAAGGGCGCGUAGGUGGCUCCUCAAGCGGGCGGUGAAAGUCGGGGGCUCAACCCCCGAUCGGCCGUGCGAACUGGGGGGCUGGAGCACUGUAGAGGCAGGCGGAAUUCCGGGUGUAGCGGUGGAAUGCGUAGAGAUCCGGAAGAACACCGGUGGCGAAGGCGCUCUGCUGGACCAUAACUGACACUCAGGGACGAAAGCUAGGGGAGCGAAUGGG